rnacentral:rRNA from 1 species
CAAACGACUCUCGGCAACGGAUAUCUCGGCUCUCGCAUCGAUGAAGAACGUAGCGAAAUGCGAUACCUGGUGUGAAUUGCAGAAUCCCGCGAACCAUCGAGUCUUUGAACGCAAGUUGCGCCCGAGGCCUUCGGGCCGAGGGCACGCCUGCCUGGGCGCCACGC